AAAGACCUUAUGUUUUUGGAGCGGCCGAUGUCUGAUUAGCUAGUUGGUAAGGUAAUGGCUUACCAAGGCAACGAUCAGUAGUUGGUCUGAGAGGACGACCAGCCACACUGGGACUGAGACACGGCCCAGACUCCUACGGGAGGCAGCAGUGGGGAAUUUUGGACAAUGGGCGCAAGCCUGAUCCAGCAAUGCCGCGUGAGUGAAGAAGGCCUUCGGGUUGUAAAGCUCUUUCAGUUGAGAAGAAAAGAUUGUGACUAAUAAUUGCAAUUCAUGACGGUAUCAACAGAAGAAGCACCGGCUAACUACGUGCCAGCAGCCGCGGUAAUACGUAGGGUGCGAGCGUUAAUCGGAGUUACUGGGCGUAAAGGGUGCGCAGGCGGUUCUCUAAGUCAGAUAUAAAUCCCCGGGCUUAACCUGGGAACUG
rnacentral:rRNA from 1 species